rnacentral:lncRNA from 1 species
CAUUCCCCACAGUACUGGUCCAUAUUUGCAUAGGGCACUUCUGCAGAGUUCCUGGCUUCUUGAAGGAGACUUACUCACUUCCGCCUUCUGCCUUCUGCCUUCUGCCUUGCUCUCUCCUUCCCUCCACAAAUGUGUUGCUCCCUUCCUCCCCUUCCUUCCUUCCACAAAUGCUUCUUAAGUCCCUAAUCUGUGUCAGACAAUGUCCUAGGCACACAGGGACAUGAGCUGACGUCGCCCCCUUCUCUGUUGAGCAAGAUGCCAGCUGUGGCCACUGGAUGCCUCACAAGAAUCGUAGCUCUCUAGUGAGCUUGGAAGGAGCCAGGCAAGGGAUGUGUGCUUGUGGCUUGUGAAGAGUGAAAGUGAUUUCUGGAAAAUGUUCUUGAACAGUCUGCACACCUUUUGAAAGGUUGCUGUCAUCUCCCUAAAGAGUGGAAGCCGUCCCCAGCCGUCCAUCUGUUGACUUGGCGCACGUGUGUGGGAAGCCUGUUUUCCCUGUGGCAGAUGGCUGGAUGAGUUACAUCUCCUCGACACAGCUGUGGCACGAGACCUCCCCCCUGCUCCUGCUCCCAUCAGUCAGGCAUCUCACUGGUGAUGGAUGCAGAGAGUCAGCCAGUGAGGAGUCCAGAUUUAAAGAGGUUUAUGGCAUAGAUAUAGUAUAGUCAUAUAUCCAUGUCUGGAACUCAAGUCUGUUUUGAAAUGUUCUCCACCUGUAGAUGAGAAAGAUGUGCAUGAUACUCGAUGACACAGGAAAAGAGGAGGUGUGUGCUGGACAAACGCUGAAUGAACCAGGAAUAACUAUGAACAGCUUAUAUUAUUCUUACCCACUUACGUUUGUCUAGCAGGUUAUACCUUUCAAAGUGCUGAUAUAUACUUGCUCUCAUUGGAUCUUUCUAAAGAAUUUUAAAAUGCAUUUUAUGUUACAUACUUAAAUAUUGAUAACUCUUUUUCUACCACCUAAUGAAGGCAAUAAAACUUAUGCAGAUGCUGAACAUCAAUAUCCUAGGAAGACUAACCCCAAAGUGUUUCACUUUCUCCUUUUACUUGCCUCCUGAUGCUAUUUUAUUUUAUUUUUGGCUAAGCCUGGGGCAUGAGAAAUUUCCCGAUUGAGGACUGAACCUGAGCCACAGCAGUGGUCCAAACCACGGUAGUGAAAAUGCCGAGUCCUUCACCACUAGGCCACCAGGGAACUCCUCAUGAUCCUGUUUUAGAAUAAGCAUUUUGUACUUCUAAUUCUCUUUCUGACCUUUUCACAUUUCUAUAACCCUAGAGUGUCUUUUUUUUUUUUUCUUUUUAGGGCUACCUCCCACAGCACAUGGAGUUUCCCAGGCUAGGGGUCCAAUCGGAGCUACAGCUGCCAGCCUACACCACAGCCACAGCAACGUGGGAUCCAAGCUAUGUCUGCAACCUACGUACACCACAGCUCGCUCUGACACCGGAUCCUUAACCCACUGAGUGAGGCCAGGGAUCGAACCUACAACCUCAUGAUUCCUAGUCGGAUUUGUUUCCACUGUGCCAUGGUGGAAACUCCAACCCUAGAGUGUCUUUAUCUCUGAUGUUGUGUCUUUGAUGUCCCAUGCUAAUCCCUUUUGUUUGUUUUUGCUGUUAAAAACCAUUUCAUUGAGGUAAAAUUGACAUAGAAUACUGUACAUAUUUAAAAACGAUAACUUCAUAAGUUUUGACAUACAUAUAAACCAUCACCACAACCAAGAGUGAGCAUAUCCAUUGAUUUCAAGUAGUUUUGUGUGUGUGUGUGUGUGUGUGUGUGUGUGUGUAUGAGACUAAGUGUUUUAAGUUGAUUUCUAAUCAAAGGAAGCGUUAACUAAGAUGCCAUUUUAUUAACUAAGCUAUUUUACUUACGCUUUCUGGUUCUUGAAUGUGUUUGGGGAACACUCUCAUUCUGGUUCUAUUCUCUUGGGGCUGUCAGUUCACGCUGAACCUCAGCUUUAAUAAAUGAUAUUUACACAUACUCUGUUUUACGAUCUCUAGUUUCUCUUUUAGCAAAUUCUGUCCAUCUCAUGGGGGUAGUUGAAAAAGCACCAUUUGAAACUGGAAGAUCUGAGUCCAUGUCUCUGCUUUGCUUCUUUUUAGAUGCAUGACCCUGGAUGCUAAUGACAAUCAUACUACACACCUCACUGGGGUGUUUUGGAUCACACAAGAGCUUCCUUCUGUAACAGGAUGUUACAGUGCAAGUUUCUACGCAGACCUCAAGCCAUGACGCACAUUUUUUCCAAAACCAAAUCACCAUGUGGACAGUUUACAAAGAAAAUGUCCCAAACUUGUUCAAGAUCUUUUAAACUCCUCACCAGCUUUAAGAAAAUAAAAAGAGAAGUUCCCCUUGUGGUUCAGUGGGUUAAGAACCUGAUGUAGUCUCUGUGAGGAUGCAGGUUUGAUCCCUGGCCUCACACUGUGGGUUAAGGAUCUGGCGUUGCCACAAACUGUGGUGUAGGUUGCAGACGUGGCUCAGAUCUGGUGUUGCUGUGGCUGUGGUGUAGGCUGGCAGCUGUAGCUCUGAUUCAACUCCUAGCCUGGGAACUUCCAUAUAACCCAGGUGCGGCCUUAAAAAGAAAGAAAAAAGAGAAAGAGAGAAUGAGAGAAAAAUAAAAAGAGGGGAGAGCAGAGAAUGUGGGAGGGAAUUUUAGCAUAUUUUAUUUAUAUUUUGUAUUGAAGUAUAAUUCACAACAUUGUGUUAACUUCAGGGGAUUUUCUUGAGUGAGAUAGUUUGCCGUAAUGUGAAUACCCACACCCUCUGAAGCCCAGUGGGGUGGGUGACUACAAGGGGCCAUUCAGAGAGCUGGAUGUGUGUCUCUACAGCUGGAGGAAGAACUGACCUAGGGGAACCUGAUUCGUACUGAGGAAGCUACAGAGGCCUUGGAAUAGCAGGGUGGGUGGGUGGCCUGCAGUCCCAGAGACUGGGGGGGGUGCCUAAGGGUACAGGGGGAUUUCCUGGGGGUCAGAGGUUGGUUGACCCCAAGCCAUUUAGCAUCCUGCCCUACCCUUAGAGAAAGUAAGGAGAGAGCACAGUAGCCUUUGACGCACUCCAUGCUGAGUGUGUAACUGAGCUGGAUCCUGUGAGGCCUUCCCAGAGUGGACCCCCACUCAUGUCUACCACCUGCCUUUUUAUCUAUAGAACAACUUUAGUCAAAGAAUCAAUUUAAUCAGAGAAGUGAGAAAGUACAGAAAGAAAAAGUCAAACAGGACAGAAUAAUGAAACAAAGUCAAGAACCUUCAGUUCUUUCUCAAGGACUGUAGAUAAUAUUCUGAAACAUGUCCUUGGAACUCUUUUGCAGGUGCUGAAGCCCCCACUGGGUGGAAGAAGUCAACUGUAUGCUGCCCACUAACAUGUAGACUCCCAGACGGGUUGGUACCAGAAGGUUAAUGACACUGACUCCUAAUUACCUCACCACUCACCAAUCAGGAGAGUGUUCACAAGCUGAUCACACCCUGCUCCUCAAGCACUAGAAGACUCUUCACUACCCCCUCCAAGCGUGUGUGUGUGUGUGUGUGCGUGUGGGAGGAGGCGGGGGGUGGGGCAUAGCCCUUGAGGUGCUAGCCUGCUGUUUUCCCUCUUUGUCUGGCAAUUAAAGUUACUUUUUCUGUUUCUU